ACGCACGUAGCAAUACGUGAGUGGCGGACGGGUGAGUAACGCGUGAGAAUCUAGCUUCAGGUCGGGGACAACAGAGGGAAACCGCUGCUAAUACCGGAUAUGCCGAAAGGUGAAAGAUUAAUUGCCUGAAGAUGAGCUCGCGUCUGAUUAGCUAGUUGGAGAGGUAAAAGCUCACUAAGGCGACGAUCAGUAGCUGGUCUGAGAGGACGAUCAGCCACACUGGGACUGAGACACGGCCCAGACUCCUACGGGAGGCAGCAGUGGGGAAUUUUCCGCAAUGGGCGAAAGCCUGACGGAGCAAUACCGCGUGAGGGAGGAAGACUCUUGGGUUGUAAACCUCUUUUCUUAGGGAAGAAGCUCUGACGGUACCUAAGGAAUAAGCAUCGGCUAACUCCGUGCCAGCAGCCGCGGUAAUACGGAGGAUGCAAGCGUUAUCCGGAAUCAUUGGGCGUAAAGCGUCCGUAGGUGGCAGUUCAAGUCUGCUGUUAAAGGCUGGGGCUUAACCCCAGACAGGCAGUGGAAACUGAACAGCUAGAGUGUGGUAGGGGUAGAGGGAAUUCCCGGUGUAG
rnacentral:rRNA from 1 species